GUAGGUGAACCUGCGGAAGGAUCAUUAUCACGUAUCCACGUAUAAACCAUUGUCGAACUGUUUCUUUAACCUUUGGGGAUUUGUUAAGGUAGUGUAUAUUAAAACAUUUAGCGUUUUUUGAGUGAUUAAACGUGUUUUAAUAUGCCACGAUAUGUAGCUUCCGGGUUACUAUUGUACUUACUUUCUCUGGAGUGUAUUAAUCACUUAUUAUUAACCAUUUUAACACAAUCAUUAUAAUCUUUUGAACUAACCAAUUUAUACUCCCGUCAAAAAGGAGAUAAAUUAAUUACGAAACAAAGAACAACUCUUAGCAACGGAUAUCUUGGUUCUC
rnacentral:misc_RNA from 1 species